rnacentral:lncRNA from 1 species
CCCCCCAUCUUCAUCAUUAUUGUCAUCUUGGAGCUCAUCCUCUUCAUCAGUCUCUUCCUCAUCGAUCAGCAGGACUCUCUUAUCUUUGCCUAAGUUACAUUUUACAUUAGUAUAUAUGAAGAGUAUAAGAAUAAUAAUAAAUUUUCAUUCACUUGAAUUGAAGAUAGUAAUUGAGGACUUUCUCUCUCAAUUAGCCGCGCCACCUGCCCGGCGUUGACUACGUUGAUAGCAACCAGCCCGGCGUUGCUCGCCGCACGCCGGCCGUCUUCGUUCGCUGCUGCUGUGCUCACCCGUCAGCCCUCUGCUCGGAGUUGGAGAGUGUGAAAAGGUUGACUUUUCCACACGUUUUGAUCCAGCAGCGGUCGAGAUUUCCAUCAGCGGUGCCGUCGCCUCUCUUCUUCUCAGCAGCAGUCGAGAGAUCCGCUCUCUUCUUCUUCAGCAGCAGUCGAGAGAUCCAGCAGCGGUACCCGCCGAUCCGCCUCAUCGCCGGGCAGCAGCGGCUUCUCUAACAGUUGUCGUCGCCUCGCUCCGACGGUGGUUGCAGUCCGGCGUCCACCUCGCACCUCCGACGCACUCCACCGGACCGUGCCACUCUUCGCCGCGCCGAACCCCUUCCCUCAUCAGAUUUCAGCUAAUGGGGGAAAAAGGAGAUGGCGCCGCUCUUUGAGAAUCGAAAAACCUUUCCGAUGGUUUUGACGGAGGAGGUCUCCGGCAACAAGGCUGAACGCUCCAACGCCGAGUUUCCGAUGGUUUCGACGGCAGAGGUCUCCGGCAAUGUUUCUCCACGAACAUCGAGCGCGUCUCCACAGCAGCGUCCCCCGACUGUUCUUUCUCCCCAGAAGUUUCCUCAUCCUGCUGCUCUGCGUGAGGCUGAAGGCUCCAGCGCCGAUUUUCGAGUUGCUGUCCCAAUGGCUUCCGCUUCGACAGCAGACAGAGGAGCCCUCAAUCUCCCCUCGAUUUCUGCAAAUUGUGAACAACAUUUGAAACCCUCGAAUGGGGUUUCUAAGCAAAACUUUCAAGUUAAUCUCAGGAGCACGGUGGAUGUCCCUGCUGCACCUGUUUCUGUGAAUUCGACUGAACAACAGAACGUUUCAUACGCUAGGAUUACUGCCCCUCCAACGGUUCGACAGCCGGAUUUACCAGCGCAUAAUUUUCGUGCCCUCCGUCCGGUUAGGCAUGGUGAUCAGGGUACUCUUGUUAUACCACGUGAUAUUCAGGAUUCUCAAUUGAAAAAGUUUAAGCAUGCUCUUAUAGGCAGACUUUUGUUAAAUAAAGGCGAUAAGCCGAGGCAAUCUCGUGAGUUAAAGGCGGGAUUUCAAACGCUUUGGAAAAUUUCUUCUCCCUGGCACUUGAUGCCGAUGGGAAAGGGUUACUAUACUCUUAGAUUUCAGUCGCAAGAGGAUAAAGCCACUGCCAAGGCAAAUCUUUUAUGGAAUUUAUCUGUUGGAUCGCUACGGUUACGUGAUUGGGUACGUUACUUUAAUCCCUACAAGGAAUCUUCUUCUCUCGCUCAGGUGUGGGUUCGGAUUUAUUAUUUGCCUGUGGAGUUUUGGCAUCCUGAAGUUAUUUCGGGUAUUGGAAGUUGGCUUGGACAGCCGUUGAAAAUUGAUGGAAAUUCUAUGACUGAAGAUGUAGGACAAUUUGUGCGUUUGUUGGUUGAAAUUGAUUUGGCACAGCCUUUGCCGAUGAAGCUUAAUAUUGAUGGAGGGGACAACCAGUUUUCGGUGGAGUUCAGUUAUGAAUAUAUACCUAUUUUUUGUUAUCGAUGCAAGAUCACGGGCCAUUCGAUGGAGAAAUGUCGCAAGGGUGACAAAUCACAGGGAAAGACAACAGAUGAGGUUGAAAAGAGGGACAACGGACCGGAAUGGCACGCUAUCGGGAAGGCGGUGGUUCAAGCUUCGGUGUUGAAUAACACUGAAGCUUUGGAAGCGGUUGAUAAUAAUGAUUCCUCGGAUCAUUUGCAAGUUACAUCUGUUAAAGCUGUUGAGGUGACGUCUGCUCUGACGGAGCGUGCUCAAGGCGAGCAAACCACGGGAGAGCAGAAGUCUGGGAAUUCCUUUUCCCCUUUGGUGACGGCGGAGCAAUCAAGCGAGAUGGCUGACCAUACAGUUUACGGGCCGGAUACGGCUGUUUUGAAGCAGAUUAUUCAGACAGCUAAUAGUGACGAGGAGGUGGACGAGGAUCUUGAGAUGGAGACCCCGUCUGGGAUUAAAGACUCUCCUACUCCAGAUUUUGCAAGUCGUAUUAAUCGGUUAGAGGAGCAGGUUAGCCAGGGAAUGCAAUUACUUGUUGAUCAAGCACCGCCUAAACGACGGGGACGUCCUCCAAAGGGUAUGGAGCGUCCGCGCGUCCCACAACCUUUGGAAGAUAGCAUAAAGAAUCGACUCCGUCAUGCGGAGGAAAUGGGUUAUAAGCCGAGGGAGUUUGUUAUCGAUAAUAGCAGAAAUGCUAGUAUCUGUGUUUUGAAUAAUAUCUCCAAAGGACGUUGGUCGGAUGAAAUGGAGAUGGACGACUUCUGCAACAACAUGGAUCAUUUUUGAGAUUAAGUUUCUGUACGCUGAAGUUUUAGGCUUCUUGCGUUUCCUUUUGUUGUUUUUUUCUUUCUUUUGACGAGCUCACUGUCGAGCCUCGGGCACUUUGCGUCAUUGUGUUUUCACUGGUUUUUCCUUUUUUCUUUUUAAUAAAACUUCAAUUUAAUUGAAGAUAGUAAUUGAAGCUUACCUUUUGAAUUUGUGAUAUUCUUUCUCUUCUUUCUUGUCCUUGAUGAAGAUGAAUCCCCCUCAAUCAUUUGUGUAAUUGCAGCCAUAUUAGUUGGAGGAUUUUCAUUUGCCUCGUUUUCAUUACCAACAUACCAUUCAUCGUCAGAGGCCA